CCUACGGGGCGCAGCAGUGGGGAAUAUUGCACAAUGGGCGCAAGCCUGAUGCAGCCAUGCCGCGUGUGUGAAGAAGGCCUUCGGGUUGUAAAGCACUUUCAGCGGGGAGGAAGGCGGUGAGGUUAAUAACCUCAUCGAUUGACGUUACCCGCAGAAGAAGCCCCGGCUAACUCCGUGCCAGCAGCCGCGGUAAUACGGAGGGUGCAAGCGUUAAUCGGAAUUACUGGGCGUAAAGCGCACGCAGGCGGUCUGUCAAGUCGGAUGUGAAAUCCCCGGGCUCAACCUGGGAACUGCAUUCGAAACUGGCAGGCUAGAGUCUUGUAGAGGGGGGUAGAAUUCCAGGUGUAGCGGUGAAAUGCGUAGAGAUCUGGAGGAAUACCGGUGGCGAAGGCGGCCCCCUGGACAAAGACUGACGCUCAGGUGCGAAAGCGUGGGGAGCAAACAGGAUUAGAUACCCGGGUAGUC
rnacentral:rRNA from 1 species